rfam:Microgenomates (Roizmanbacteria) bacterium GW2011_GWA2_32_13 TR23_C0036, whole genome shotgun sequence.
GCCGGGGUGGAGAAACUGGUAUACUCGAGAGACUUAAAAUCUUUUGUCGCAAGACAUGCGGGUUCGAGUCCCGCCCCCGGCA